CCAGCAACAACCAUCCAAAAGCCAAGUUGUGGGUGCGUUCAACAGGGUGACAAAUCUCUUAUAUAGAGAUAGACGAAGCAGCACGGUGACAAUACAAAGAGAAAGAGAGUGGUGUGUGCAACAGCCUUCAUUUUACCACAUGAAGAUGGUUCUUCUGCUCGUUGUACUGGAGAUCAUUCUGCUCGUUACGAUGCCGUUUGGAGGGCUGGCAGGUCCGAGUGCGAGACAGAUAAACGGUAUGUGCUCUGGCCUUUCAAUUUUGCACAUCAGACCACAUAGCUAUUACUCCAUCCAUCCGAAAAAGCUUGUCCCAACCUUGUUCCUUAAAUGGAUGCAUCUAGCACUAACUUGAUGCUAGAUAUAUCCAUUCGAGGGACAAGCUUUUUCUGGCAGAGGGAAUACAAAAUAGCUAGUACUCUCUCUAUCCGAAAUUACUUGUCUCAAAAAUGGAUAAAAUACUAGAACUAAAAAUAUGUCUAGAUACAUCAUUUCUACGACAAAUGAUUACGGACGGAGAGAGUAUCAGUUAACUCACUAGACAAAUGUUCAUCUCUUACAUGGAGACAGAGUAUUAUACCGUCAUUACGGGUUUUGAUCAUUAAAGCACUUUAGGUUUAAACUGUACAGAAAUUCGAAAUGUUUAUAUUCGCAUAUAUAUCCAUUCUUAAUAUACCGUACCUAUGUGUUCUAAAUACAAAUUUUAUUUAUAUCAAAGGUAACAAAAAAUUAAAAAGGGUUUGACAAUUGAUAUAUCAAGAAAAAGAAUAGAAAUUUUUAUUACAAGUUCGCCUUCUCAUGCAUUAUUUAAAUGCUAGUCAUAUUGAGUCGAGGAUUAAACGACCGGAAAGCUUGUGGUACUCCAAGCAAAGAUGAUUCUCGACGAAAUUCUCCCCCACUUUUGGUAAACCCACGAAAUAAUAUCUAAAAUAUAUGGGUUGUCAGAUGAAAAAUUGGCAAAGAGAAAUAAUUAAAGACUAUUUAUAGCUUCCCUCUGCCUUGACUCAUCAUGUAGUUUGUUUCCGAAAUGCUUGCUCUACUUGAAGCAGUAGUUAAAAAUUCGGUUCAGCAUGGUGAUAGUAAUGUGUUACGUACAAUAUGCUUCCAGAAUUGUUAAUGGAAAAUUUGCGUCUCUUAAAUUGUUCUUGCAGAGAGUGACAACCCCAGGUGUCCCGCUUGCCGCAGUCCUCCUUGUCAUUGUUGAAAGUAUAUGGGGUUUUGUCCCAUUUAAUUUUUCAUUCCUCAAAAGUCAUGUAGACGCAUUACAGCUGGUUGCCUGGCAUCAGCAAAUUGUAGUCUCGCACAUGUACUAGAGUGGAGGAGGAAUGAGACCAUUGUAAUAAGGGACUCUCUCUCUCUCUCUCUCUCUCUCUCUCUCUCUCUCUCUCUCUCUCUCUCUCUCUCUCUCUCUCGUCGUUAGAGCAUGAUAAGAGGACUAGUACAGGCGCACCUUCUCCGCCGCCACACCGCACUACUCGCCUACAUCUUCGAUUCCUGGCGACUUAUUCAAACCUAUAAUAAGAAUGCUCCUCGGUGUGAUAGCAAUAUUGUUAGCCACCCAGGAGCAUGUGCUUCAUCAUUUUCCAAUUUGCAUCCUUUAUGUCAUUGUUAGGUUUUUGUGCUGUGUAACGACUACAUGCCUGGCAAUUUGAUACAUCAUUACGUUGUGCAUGGAACGUUGCCCUGCAGCAAACGAUGAUCUCACAUGUGUGACCAGGCUCCUUGUAUAAAUGGCAAAUGUAAAAGAGGCUCCAAUUACCACACGGUUUGUGUGGUAAUCAAUCCUAGACCAAUGAUAUCAACAAUCAAAGAGGCUCGGAUUCGCUAAA
rnacentral:lncRNA from 1 species